UACGGAGGAUGCAAGCGUUAUCCGGAAUGAUUGGGCGUAAAGCGUCCGCAGGUGGCGAUGUAAGUCUGCUGUUAAAGAGUGAGGCUCAACCUCAUAAGAGCAGUGGAAACUACAUAGCUAGAGUGCGGUAGGGGCAGAGGGAAUUCCUGGUGUAGCGGUGAAAUGCGUAGAGAUCAGGAAGAGCACCGGUGGCGAAAGCGCUCUGCUAGGCCGCAACUGACACUGAGGGACGAAAGCUAGGGGAGCGAAUGGG
rnacentral:rRNA from 1 species